rnacentral:rRNA from 1 species
UACGGGGGGAGCAAGCGUUGUUCGGAUUUACUGGGCGUAAAGGGCGCGUAGGCGGCCACCGCAAGUCGACUGUGAAAUCUCCGGGCUUAACCCGGAAAGGUCAGCCGAUACUGCGGGGCUAGAGUGCAGAAGGGGCAACUGGAAUUCCGAGUGUAGAGGUGAAAUUCGUAGAUAUUCGGAGGAACACCAGUGGCGAAGGCGGCUCACUGGCUCGAUACUGACGCUGAGGUGCGAAAGCGUGGGGAGCAAACAGG